rnacentral:rRNA from 1 species
GAUGAACGCUGGCGGCGUGCCUAAUACAUGCAAGUCGAGCGAACAGACGAGGAGCUUGCUCCUCUGACGUUAGCGGCGGACGGGUGAGUAACACGUGGAUAACCUACCUAUAAGACUGGGAUAACUUCGGGAAACCGGAGCUAAUACCGGAUAAUAUAUUGAACCGCAUGGUUCAAUAGUGAAAGACGGUUUUGCUGUCACUUAUAGAUGGAUCCGCGCCGCAUUAGCUAGUUGGUAAGGUAACGGCUUACCAAGGCAACGAUGCGUAGCCGACCUGAGAGGGUGAUCGGCCACACUGGAACUGAGACACGGUCCAGACUCCUACGGGAGGCAGCAGUAGGGAAUCUUCCGCAAUGGGCGAAAGCCUGACGGAGCAACGCCGCGUGAGUGAUGAAGGUCUUCGGAUCGUAAAACUCUGUUAUUAGGGAAGAACAAAUGUGUAAGUAACUAUGCACGUCUUGACGGUACCUAAUCAGAAAGCCACGGCUUACUACGUG